rnacentral:rRNA from 1 species
GAUGAACGCUGGCGGCGUGCCUAAUACAUGCAAGUCGAGCGAACAGAUGAGGAGCUUGCUCCUCUGACGUUAGCGGCGGACGGGUGAGUAACACGUGGAUAACCUACCUAUAAGACUGGGAUAACUUCGGGAAACCGGAGCUAAUACCGGAUAAUAUAUUGAACCGCAUGGUUCAAUAGUGAAAGACGGUUUUGCUGUCACUUAUAGAUGGAUCCGCGCCGCAUUAGCUAGUUGGUAAGGUAACGGCUUACCAAGGCAACGAUGCGUAGCCGACCUGAGAGGGUGAUCGGCCACACUGGAACUGAGACGCGGUCCAGACUCCUACGGGAGGCAGCAGUAGGGAAUCUUCCGCAAAGGGCGAAAGCCUGACGGAGCAACGCCGCGUGAGUGAUGAAGGUCUUCGGAUCGUAAAACUCUGUUAUUAGGGAAGAACAAAUGUGUAAGUAACUAUGCACGUCUUGACGGUACCUAAUCAGAAAGCCACGGCUAACUACGUG